CAACAAUACCUCCAUCAAUUGUGAGUCCGUCUAUUUAUGUAUGUUUUCUCACAAACGGCAAGUUUUUUACAGCAUUGUUAGCUUACAAUGUCAUCAAUGUCGGUUAGCAGCGGCAUAAUGGUAGUAUGUGGCAACCGUUGAUGGUGGUUUUGUAAUAACAUUUCUAAUUAAUUUCAAAAGCUUGUAUAAAUGCAAUUAAAAUCAUUAAAACUACUUUUUUGGCAAAAUGUAAUAAUUUUUCUCUCAAAUAAUAUGUGACAAAUGACAACCUGACUCUAUAAUUUAAUUUGAUAUUCCCAAUAAGUCUAACAAAUAUCUCUCAAAAUAAUUUAAAUUACCACAUCAACUCAUAAUAUACAAUUUGAGUUUGACAUAGGUGGUUAGUUCAAUUGGUGAGCUAAAGGACGUUUAAGAAAUUUUAAUAGGAGAUCCUAAAUUCUAUUUUAAAAUGUUUUAUUGACACAAUUUUUAACAUCCGACAUCAUAUAAAGAUAUUGUUUAGAUUUUCUGAUAAUUAUUUUCUUUCACAUGUAGGUUGGGUAACACAAGUAUUUUAUACGGUGUUGAAUAUAUAAUGUUGAAAAUCGGUGUUCAAAUAUCAUUGUUGAAACUGAAGCAAUAUGUGGCUCCAUUUGCAUGGUUCAUUAGUCAUAUUGCGUCACGUACUAGUCAUGAAGCGUGACUUUGAAAAUGUAAUGUUGCUAAUUGAUUGGCUGGCUGAAAAGGAGAUGCCCUUAGCAAGAGGGAUUCAUGGCAUUUCUAGGGCACGUUAAAUAUUGUUCAGGUAUGGUGGAGAGGAGGGGACCGAAAUAGUACACUACAUUAGUGGAUCUUAAUGGAAGGGUUGGAGAUUUUGAAGCUACUGCCACUAUGUCUUUGCAUAUAUUGUGGACCAAAAGUUACUUUCUAAAGAGUACAACUCAUUUUGUGGUCCCAUUAGCAAUUGUUCGUAGCUCAUAAUUAAAAGUGGAUCAUCUCAAUGGAUGAUUUUUGUCAUAGAUCAAUCAUAUUAUUAUUUAUAUAUGUGUGUAGUUUUACUAAUUUGUUGAAACUUUAUGUAAAUUAUACGAUAUUGAAGUAAUUUAUACUAUUAAAAUUGCAAAGUAGAUCAACAAUGAAAUAAACAGUACAAAUCUCAAUUUAUUUUGAUUUUUCGAUCGAAACGUGCAAAAUCACAAUUGAUGCUCUAUCAGAAACUGCAGGAACUGUAGUUAACUGUAACUGAGCCAGUAAUAGUUAACUGCAGCCGAAAAGACUGAACGUGAUGUAUUUUCCAUGUGUUUUAAGAAAAACACACGUGAGUAAAGCAAUUUUCAUACAAUAGACGGGGCCGGCCCAACGCUAAGGCAAUCGUGUUAGGUCUUUAUUUUAUUUUUUUGAAAUUUUACAUCAUAAAAAGAUCUCAUUUCUUUUGUGAAAUAAAAGGCCUCAUAUUAUACUAUUUUCAAAUUUUAAAUUAAUAAAAUCUUGUUUAAAAUUAAUAUUGUCUUAACAAAGAUGAAAUCAAUUGACUUUUCAUCAAUUUAAAAUUAAAAAAUAAACGAAAUCGAUUAUAUAUAUUUUUUUAAAACGAAUUCCGAAUCUACAAACUUAUGUAAAAGACAUUUAAACAAAAAUAAUAAUAACAUUAUAGACUUUAAAAAUGUCUCAUCUUUAAAUUUGUCUUAGACCUCGUAAUGUGUUGGGUCGGUCCUGACAAUAGAUUUGAGGUAUUAUAUUUGUGUUAACUCUCCAUUUCGUAGAAAAAAAAAAUUUAGUCAUGAUAAUUUAGAGUUUGAUUGUGAGGUAAGGAUAGUCAAAUAAUUAUUAUUUAUAAAAGUGUAAGUUUUUUUGUUUUUAGGAAAUGAAAGUGUAAGUUAGAUUCUAGUGUAUGCAGCAACUUAUAUUGCCUCUAAAGGAGGUCAAAUAGAGAGUCCUAAAAGAAGGAAAAUGUUACAUGAACACCCUUUAUUUCUACAUCUUAUUGUACACCCCAUGUAUUAGGGAUAUUUUGGUAAGUUCAUCUCACAACCACACUUUAUCUUCUAUUUGUGCGGGAUCCAAGUUGCCACGUGUCAGAAUUUUGUGUGGGUGUAAAGGGUGUAUUGCCAUAUGGGGUGGUACAUGUAUCAUCACUCAAAAAUCAUAAAGAUCAAUGAACAUACUUAAUGUUAUAAAUUUAAAAUGUUAUUCUAAAUAGGAGUUUUGGUAAACAUACAUCACACACUAAAUAUAGAGUAAAAGAAAGUAUAGACUUUAGUCGUGUACCUUAAAAUAAUUUUUUUUCUAAUAAACAUUAAUGUACGAAAAAAUUCUUAUCAUAUAGACCAGAGGUAGUAUUCAUACAUCUCAUUAGAAAAAUCUAUGAAAUGAAUGUCUUAGUCCAUAUUCAUAGACAUAUCUAUUUUUCAAAAAUGAAAAAUUGUAUCCCCUCAAAAAAAAAUGAAAACUUGUAUAAAAUUUGAAAGUAUUAACAUUCAGCUAGAGUUGGCAGUUUGAUCAUCUCUAAUCUUUCACGGAAGGUUGAGAGUGUAUACUAUUACUAAUGAUGUCGGGCUAAAUUUUAUUAAUCGAAAAAUAAAUUUAAAAAAAAAAAAAAAAAAAAGGAGCAGGCGUGGAAGUAUGAUAAAAACAAUGGACUUGGCCUCGUUUUAAUUGACUUAUUUUGAGCUUAUGUGAGUUUAUCUACUCGGAUAAGCCUUUUUAAAGGUGUUUGGGUAAAUAAAUAAAAACAACUUAUCAUAGUUUCAUAAGCUGCUUAUGUCAUAUUUUAAUAAGCCUAAAUUUUCAGCUUAUCCUCCGGCUUAACAAGGAGCUUAUGAAUUUAUGUAACCUCCUUCGAUUCUCUCUGGAUCCACUUUUUCAAACAUAUAUUUUAAUUAUAACUUUUUUUAAGGAAUAUUUUAAUUAUAAUGUUAGUUAUUUUUUGCGGUGCAUGAGUAACAAAAUUGCUAUAUACUUAUCUUAUUAAAGUAACACACCUAACUAAGAUUUUUUUUAAGGAAGAUUUUUUUUUUUUUUUUGUUACGUAACAAAAUGAAAUAGAAUAAAAAAAACAAACUUAACUUGUUUUUUUUUUUUUUUUUGUAACAAACUGUACACUAAUAUCUAUAUAUAUGAUAAGUUUAUUUACACCUCUAAUGUUAAUUUUAUCUUAUAUGAAUAUUGAUAUUUUUUUUAAGGACAAAUAUUGAUUAUAUUAUAUAUAUAUAUAUAUAUAUAUAUAUAUAUAUAUAUAUAUAAUUAUAAUUAAUAUAUUAUAAUAUUGUUUUUUUCGCCUUGAUUAAUUUCAUAAAAAAAAAAUCUUGAUAAUUGUGGUUCAAUUCUUUGAUUUUUUUUGUUAAAUUAAAAAUAUUUAAAAUUUCGAUAAUUGCUUAUAUAAUGUCACAUCCAAACACUUCAAUUUAUGUAAGUACUUUUUAGUGUACAUAUCCAAACAUAAAUAGCUUAUCAAGUAUAAGAGCUUAUGAUGUAAGCUCUAAUGUUAUAAGCCCUAAUGAUAUAAGCAUCUAUAUAAGCUGUUUAUCCAAACGGGACCUUUGUCUUAUAUGAAUAUUGAUAUUUUUUUAAGGACGAAUAUUGAUUAUAGUAUAUAUAUAAUUAUAAUUAAUAUAUUAUAAUAUUGUUUUUUAUAUCUUGAUUAAUUUUAUCAAAAAAAUCUUGAUAACUGUGGUUCGAUUCUUUGAUUUUUUUGUUAAAUUAAAAAUAUUUAAAAUUUCGAUAAUUACUUAUGUAAUAUCACAUCCGAACACUUCAAUUUAUGUAAGUACUUUUUAGAUACAUAUCCAAACAUAAAUAGCUUAUCAAAUAUAAGAAUUUAUGAUGUAAGCUCUAAUGUUAUAAACCCUAAAGCUAUAAGCAUAAACUGUUUAUCCAAACAGGGCAUUGAUCCAUUUAAAUGCUUCUGCGGAUAAACCGUCACAAAAGCCUUCAAUGAAAUUCUAUUUUGUUUCUUCGAUGAAGCCUCCAAGGAGCUUCAAACCGAGAUAUUGGUAUGAAUAUGAUGAUAUGGAUACUAGUUUAAUUUUGAUGUCUAGCUUGCUUUUGGAUUGUACUACUUGAAAAGAAUUGACAUAAAAAAAAAAUACAAGUUUCAAAAUUUUAAUCAAACUCGUGAUACAAGCCAUGAGAAACUUUUAUAAAGGUCUCCCCGCCAUAAAUUUCGGUGAAGUAGUUUGAUUACUUAAAAGAAAUGAGAAACUUUUAUAAGGGGCGCAUGUUCGGUGAUGACAUAAUGGAGUCCAAAAGAUUAUGUGCUCUCGGUGGUGGCGUAAAAGAGUCCAAAAGAUUAUGUGCUCCAAUGAUUGAUACCAUAUUGCUCUGAUCGGAAAUGGUUUUAGCUAAUGCUGGUUUUGGUAUAUUUGUCGUAAUACGAUUGUUUUCGUCUUCAAUUUGUUGCUUAUGGUCAUGCAUAUUUGGUGUUUGAUUGAAGUGCUUGAGUUUUUUUUUAAAAAAAAUUAAAAAUAAAAAAUAUUAGGAAUUUGGCCUAAAGGCCGACUAAUCUUCUUCAAAAAAAAUAUAGAGAAUCAAUUUCACCGUCUAUUAAUGAGGGACCACUUAAAACUAUAGUAAAGAUAUGUAUAGACCAAUCUAACACAUAAAUUGUUGGCACCAGUAGAAUUUAUAUUUGAGACCUAGAGAGAGCAUACAUCUAGGUUCCAAGCCUUCACCACUCAACCAUUAUUCCAUGUGUUAUUUAAUUUUCAUGGGGAUUUCAUUUCUCAUGGCGUAGGCUUUAAUUUGGAUGUUGCUUUCUUAAUUUAAUUCUAGUGACAUGUUUUGUUGUUAGUUUUGAUGGGUGGCGUAGUAUGAUGUCUUGAUUUUUAUUUAUUUUUUGAAUUAAGUGUUUUAUUUCAUCUAGGUCUAACUUAUGGUAAAAAAAAAUCUAGUUCAAACAUUUUUUUUUUUUUAUAAUUGAUGUUUUCACUUUUGAGUUUGUUAAAAAAACUUACAUGGCAGUGGUUAACUGCCGAAAUUUCUUGUUCCGCGGCAGUUAACCGCCGAAGUGACAUUUUUUUAGUGUAAAUUCGGCGGCGGUCAACUGCUGAUGGGGUAAAUGUGUAAUUUCCUGGUGUUUUAUAGCAAAGGUUGAAGUGGGAACACCAAACUUCCAUUUUUUUUUUUGUUAAACAGAAAUGUUACUUGUAACGUUGGGCUGGGCCUUGACAUAAUGUUUAAGGCUCAAGUUCGUAACAAUAUGCCAUGUCCAAUUCAAUAAGAGUUGUUUUGGUGUGCCCAUAAGUUAUCAUAGAAUGAUUUUAAAUAUAGCUUUUUCUAUUAGAGCAAACACACCAAAGAUUUGUUCACACAAUUCAAUCCAAUAAAGACCUAGGUCUGGAGGAGAUAGAUAUCUCUAAUUCACUAUCAAUUAGUUUCUUAAAAAAAUAAACAAAAUAAGUUAUAAGAAAUUAGCUUCAACAAGAUCUCAAUGAAAAACUUAAUUUCUACCCAUUUACCAAACUAUUUCCUUGAUCAAGAGAUUCAAAGAUUUUCAACCAUCCAAUGUGUUUACAAUGUUUCCAACCCUAGAGAAUAUACCCCCAAAAGUAUUCAAUUCUUAGCUUUUGAACUUAGAAGAAUCCCCCUUGUGAUAAACUCUAGGUUUCCUCACAUCCCAUGCCAAAACUGCGCUGGAAAAUAUCUUUUUAUAAAACAGGUCACAGGCAUGCGCACUGCUCCCGGCCCGCAUGGUAGUAUCCAAACUACAAAAACAAGUUGUCAUUCGACUGUGCGUACUUCUGCGCCCCCUGCAUAUGAGGCAGAAGUGCAACUCCUUGGAAUUAGCGAUUUCAAGACAGUCAACAAGUUCUUACUAUAUAUUUUUAUAUUAUAUUAUAUACAAACUUAUUAAUUUUGAAAUUAAAUUAAGAAGACCUUUUUUUCCUACGUCAAAGAUCGUAAUUCAAAAAAUACAACAAUCUUGGAGCGCCAGAUCCCUCUUUUGUGUCAGGAAAGAAAUCUUGAUCAAAUUAGUUGCCCAAUCUAUUCCAUAUUCCUGUAUGGGGUUUUUUCUCAUCCCUAAUUCAUUACGUGAAGAUAUUGAAAUGAUGAUGAAUUCCUUCUACUGGGAUUCGAAAAAGAAUGGAAGACACAUCAUAAAUUGAAUGCGAUGGGAUAAACUCACACUUUACAAAAACUUAGGAGGUUUUGGCUUUCAUAAUUUGGAAGCAUUCAAUCAUUCUAUGCUUGGCAAGAAAAGCUGGAAACUUCUCACCGACUCUACUUCUUUACUUGCUAAAGCCCUCAAAGCCAAAUAUUUCAUUGACAAGAUUUCUUGGGUGCCAAUCUUGGCCACAAUCCAAGUUAUACGUGGAGGAGUCUCUGAAGUACCUAAAAUUUACUUAUCAUAGGGCAUGGAUGGAAGAUUGGUGAUGGCUCUGAAAUCAAUGUGUUGAGUAUGCCAUUGAUCCUAAAUUUUCCUACUCUAAAACUAACAUCUUUGUUGUUGCAAAAUUUUGAAGAUCUUACGGUUAAUUAUUUGUUGAGUUCAGGCUUGAAUUCUUGGAACAACGUCCUUGUUCGCGCCAUUUUUACAUCUGUUGAUGCUACAAACAUUUUAGCCAUGCCUCUUUAUCUGUGUUCACCUCUUGACCAGCAUGUAUGGAAGCCUACAUCUGAUGGCUUCUACACUGUCAAAUUUGCCUACCGUACUUGUUCAGAUCUUAUCCAUGCAAACACGACUUCCCACGGUAAUGCUCGCUGGAAUAGUAUCUGGAACAUGAAAGUUCCACAAAUAAUUUGUGCCUUCAUCUGGCGUCUUGCGCACCAGUGCUUGCCUACACGCACCAAUCUUCUUAAUCAUGGAAUUUCGUAUGAAGAUUCUUGUAUUUCUUGUGAUCUUUUUGCUGAAACGCAAAUGCAUACAUUCUUUGUUUGCUCGAAGGCUAAUCAAUGUUGGAAUCUGGUUGGGCUACAUUACACCAUCCAAGUGCUUCUCUCAAUUGCUAUCAAUUUUACAACAAUGUUGUUUGAUUUGUUUGACACGUUACAAGUGCAUCAACAAGUUCUAACAACAAUUACCCUUUGAAUCUUAUGGAAAAGUUGUAACACUAAACUAUGGGAAGCCACUGACACCUCUCCUACUCUCAUUGUGAGCCGAGCAAAAGACACCCUACAUGAAUGUGGAUGUAUGCAAAAAGGAAAAGUGACGAUCCAAAGUGAACAUAUGAAGCAACCUUGGACCAAACCACCACUAGGUAUGAUCAAGUGUAAUGUUGACACGUCUUCUUUAAACGAUAACUCUAUCAUGGAAUGCAAUAUAUGUUUUUGAGACUCUACAGACAUUUUCUUGCUUGGCAAUUCAAAUUACUUUGCCUCAUCUACCACCGUUUUGGAAGUUAAAAUCUUAGGCUUACUAGAAGCUAUUAAGGUGGACAUCUCAAACGGCAUAUGAGAUGUUAUGUUCCAAACUAAUUCUAAAGUUUUAUCUAACGUGCUAGACACCGCCUCUAUUUUUCUAAUGAGUUUGAUGACCUUAUAUCUCAAUGUAGAAGUCUAUUAUUUUCUAGGAACGACUUUGUUGUGUCGUUGGAGGCAAGCAAAUAAUGUUGCACAUUAUCACUAUUCUUUUGUCAAAUAGCCUUGUGGUUAUAAAUUCACUUUUUAAAGUGAAUAAGUAGGGUGUCUGAAGUUCGAACCCUGAGUACUACAUAUAAAAUACAAAAUAGUAACUCAAAAUAGUUUUUUUUUUCUUUAAUGAAACUCAAAAUAGUUGUUGAUUAUUGUGAGAAAAAAAAAAAAGUAGUUGAGAAGCAUGAAAUUAAUGAAAGAGAUAGGCCCACCCCGCCCAAAAAUGAAAUGAAAAAAAUACAAGGGCAGAAGGUGGUGAGGAUGAAAUGAAAAUCGAAAUCGAAAUUACUUAAAAACAAACCCUUACCAAAUUUCGUGUUUUAAUUGUAACCUCUCUCUCUUUCCCUCACACUUUCCCUCGCAUCGUCUCUUUUGUUUUCUUCCUCACAAAUAUUUUUGCUUCCAAAACUCCAAAACCACGCACGCACGCUUCUCCCAAAUUAGGUAUAAACCACCACCAGAUCUGGUUAUCAUCUCAUUCCACCGCCGCACCGGAGAUUCAUUCCAUUGCAUUCCGUGGCAUGAUCUUAGCGCCGCUGUUCUUGAUUCUGAAAUAUUUAUAGCUCGCUCGCUCGCUCAAUGUCUGCCAUGGAUUUAAUCUGGAGAGGGAACGACAAUGUGGUUCCAGACGCUUCUCAUUUCUCCGUCGCGAUCUACUUCGCUUUUGGUAGUUUGGCCGCUAGGUUCAUUCUUGAUAGAUUCGUCUUUCGCGUAAGAAUUUCCUUCCUUUCGUUCCUACCUUGUUCUAAUAUUAAUUAUUAUUUGCUAAUUCUUCUCUCAUUGUCACCAAUUGAUUUAAUUGCUUUGAUUUAAUUAAAUAAGGAAAAUAUUCUAAUUCUGCUUAUUCAUGUUCAGUUAAAUUUUAUGGAAAAAUGUUUUUCCUUUUCUCUCAAUUCUUAGUUUUAUGGUUUUGUCUUAGCUAGCCACCCUGCAAUUUCAAUUGGCAUUAUUAGUUCUAAUCUUACCAAUGGAGCAAUGCUAAACAAAACGAAAAGCACAAUUAUUGGUAAAAGAUUUUAGAAGAAUGUUAUUAUUGUUAUUAUUAUCAUCAUCACAUAAAUAAAUUAAGCCUAGCAGAGAUGAUGAUGUUGCGUUGGAUGUGUGGUAAGACUAGACAUGAUAGGAUAGGAUUAGAAAUGGCAACAUUAGAGAGAGAGUUGGGGUAACACCUAUAGUAGAAAAGAUGGUGGAAACUAGGUUUAGGUGGUUUAGGCAUGUGGAGAGAAGAACUGUGGAUUCUGUAGUAAAGAGAGUGGAUCAGAAGGAGGGUAGUCAGAUCACUAGAGACAGGGGAAUGCUUAUAAAAACCAUACGAGAAACUAUUAAGACUGAUCUAGAGAUUAAUGAGUUGGAUAGAAAUAUGGUUCUAUUUGAUAGAACAUUAUGGCGUUGUUGUUAUCAAAAUAUGUGGAAAAAGGUGUAUUAAACCAUAAAUACACAUUUUAGUAAAUGAAGAGAACGGUCUACCCUUGUCAAUAUAGUCAUUGGACUUUUGUGAAAUGUCAAUAGGUUAACCCUUCAUUUGUUGUACUAUGAAGACCUCAUAAUGACUUUUCAUGUCGAUAGGUUAACCCUUUUUAGCAAUGCACAUCGGCAUAAGCCUGGUAUUGUUUACAAUUAUUCUGUUUCAUGAAGUGUGCAAGGAUCCUUUAGUGACCUGUGUAAAAAGAAGUUUUUGAACCAACUAUGAUCAAUCUUAUACUGUUGAAUUAAUUUAAUCAGAAAGAAUGUUAGUUCCUUUUUUUAAGCAGAUUCCUUAAAUAUUUUGUUGUUUACAGAGGUUGGCUAUCAGGAUGUUGACAAAGGGUAAAGCUCCUUCGCGGAUUAAUAAGGAAAUGCAAGUAAAGAUUGCAAAAUGCACGGAGUCAAUGUGGAAGCUAACAUACUAUGCUACAGUUGAAGCUUUUAUUCUUAAAUUUAUCUACCAUGAACCCUGGACUACUAAUAGGAAAAUGUUCACUGAAGACUGGCCAAAUCAUGAGUUGAAGUAAGAAAUUUAUGUAGUGCAAUGAUUUAAUUUAGUCUUGUUAAUGCGUCUUUCCCAUAUAAUGAGUGACUUGCAUCUAUCUUGUUGACUUGAUUUGUUUGUGUUAAUGUUUCUUUGGAGGGCCUCCCCAUUGACCAGUGUUGUCAAAUAUCGGCCAUGGCAGGAUAUUGGUGGGGGUUUUUUGGCUUUACUCCAUGGCCAAUUUUCUGAAGGAUGGUGGCGCCAUGGCGCCAUAAUCGCCAUAUGUCAUGUCAGGCUGGUAUGUCGGAAUUUUGGCUCUCCCCCUUGGUCCGCCAUCGACUACUCUUCCAGUCACCCUUACUUUAAUCAUUGGUGUUGUUAACAUUUUAACAUUUCACAUGCAUUUUAGACUUUAAAUGAAUUUAUAGCUACAAAAAUGGGUUCACAUGCUGAACUAUUAUGGAAGAGAGAAUAUUUAAGUGCAGAGAGAUUAUUGGAAACCGGAAAUUAGUCUUUUUCCCUUUCUGGGUUCAGAACAUCAAGUGAUCGGAAUUAAGUUUUUGCUGUUGGUGGAAAAAUGAGUAUAUAGAAAAACAAAUUUCAAGGGUUUUCAAAGCAAUAGACAGAUAUGCUCCUCCAUUCAUAAAUUGACAAUGCAAAUAAUUUAUUUAGUAUAUUGUUUUUGAUGAAUUCAAUUUCUUGCUUCUUCUGACUUUAUGUCAUUGGUUGCUUUAGUAUUUGGUUGUAUCGAGACUCGAGUCUACUCUCAUCGGGAGAACUUAUAAUUGUGCUCAGGAAGAAAAUUACAACACUAUUGUACUCGUGUCUGAUAUUUUUCAUAUAAAAUAGUUGCCUUAUUAAAAUUUAUAUUGUAUUCUGUUUUAUUUCUUUUCCCAGGAGUCCCUUUGUGAUUUACUACAUGUGCCAAUGUGGGUUCUACAUUUAUAGCAUUGCUGCUAUUCUCUUGUGGGAGACUCGAAGGAAAGAUUUUGCAGUGAUGUUUACUCACCAUGUAAUUACUGUUGUACUGAUUGGGGUCUCAUAUCUAACAAGGUAAUAUACUUGUAUUAUUUUUCAAUUGAAGAAUAUACCACAUCAAUUAUAGAUAAACCUUAAAUUUGGAACUUAGUUUUUGUUGUCCUUUAGCAUUAGCAUAUCGCAAUCCAUAUUUUAUGCUCAUUAUUAUUGAUGUUAUUUAUUGCUGUUCUCUUUUUAUAUCUGUUAUCAAAAUUUGGAGAUUGAUGUUCUGCAAUUUUGUCUCUUAAGUAAUAUUCAUAAUUGUAGGUACUGUGCUUGAGACUGAUAAAUUAAAGUCUGGGUUUGGAAAAAAUUUCUGGAUGGUCCUUUAAAAUUCUAGUUUCCUGAAAAUUCAUUAUAAUCUAAAGAGUGGUAUUUAUGAUUGAUGCAUUAAGAGUGUUCAUUGUCAGCACUUAGUUUGCUAUAUGUAUUGGAUUUGACUCUCUAAGUGUUCACAUGCAAGUCCUUUACAAAUUGUCCUUUUUGUGCAAUGUUUUUAUGCCAGUGGGUUAUGUAGUUAAUUGUGGCCGUAGCAUCGACAAUUGCAGUGUUGUUUGGUAUAGGCAGGGCACUACGGUUUCUGGCAUUGCGUUUUAGGGUUGCAGCUAUAGCACCCCAAGUUGCGGGAGAAAUGUGGAAAAAUGUGGCUAUUUCAGCCACAGUAUUCAAGACAAAAUGAAAACAAAAAAAUACCUCUUAUUUUCUUGCCAUUUUCUUCUUUUUUUGGACAUUUUAUCUUUUUGUAUCCUCAAGACAAACUCUGAUUGGAGAAAACAAAUCAUAGUACUCCCACUUUUUUCCCUCUUCUGUGCAAGAAGAAAACACGGCAGCACCACUCUUGUCUUUGCGAUAGAACCUAUUCCUUCCCUCUGCAUAUUUGCUAUUUUGCUGUAUAUUUGAUUUGAAAAUUAGUAACAAUGAACUUUGAUCGUUAGUUAUGAAUGUGUUUUAGUUUUGUUUACUCUUUUAUAUUUUGAGCUCUUAUGUGUAUGGUAUAAAUUGCUUGUAUUGUGAUACCAAAAAUAAAAAGUUGCUUGUAUUGUUUCCUUAAGCUUUGGCGUAACGGCCAUACCCACCACCCUCUUCACCAAAAUAGUGUUUUUGGGAGUCACCUUAACAGUCCGCCAUCUGCCACUGAUUCAUAGGCCAGUGGCAUGUAUUGCAUUCGUAACCUGAUCUUACGAUUCAGAUUCUGAUUGAUUUAAUAAAACUAUGGAAAAUGCUAACUAGUGCCCUUGGGGCACUAGUUAAGGAAGCAAAUAUGGUAAAACUUUCUUGAAAGACGUGUAGUCAAACUCUUGAAAGUAUAAAAAGUGUUCAUUUUAAUGCAAAACUUUUCGUUUUUUGUUUCCUUAACUAGUGCCUCGGGGGCACUAGUUAGCAUGACCCGAAAACUAUUCAUUGUCAUUUCAUAGGCCAGUGCCGAAGGCAUGGAUUACAUUUGUAACCUGAUCUUGUAGUGUUUUUUGUUCCUGCUCACUUCUUUUUCCAGAUUUGCUAUAUUGAGAUAAGUGAUUUUAUAUUGCAAAAAUGACAUUAACAGAGACAGAUUAUGAAGAGGUAACUUACACUGUUACACAUGCUGCAUUUACAGUUUUUUCAGGCUUGGCGCCAUAACCCUAGCCCUUCAUGAUGUAAGUGAUGUAUUCAUGGAAGCUGCCAAGGUAUUCAAGUAUUCUGGCAGAGAAUUUGGUGCUAGUGUGUGUUUUGCAUUCUUUGCAGUUUCAUGGCUCAUACUACGGCUAAUUUUCUUUCCCCUUUGGAUUAUUAAAACUACAAGGUUUGUCUAUUUAUUUUGUUGAUUUCAUUGGACUUUGUUUGGGGAGGCAACCUACUAAUCAUAUUUUUUCACCACUGGGUUUCCCACUUUCCAGCCUUGACCUUCAGAAGGUCUUAAACCUAUCAGAGAGGCUUCCCAUGUUACUUUACUAUGUGUUUAAUACAUUGCUUAUAAUGCUGCUCAUCUUCCAUGUAUACUGGUGGAUGCUCAUAUAUGCGAUGAUCAAUAGACAGUUGAAAAACAGGGGAAAAGUUGGGGAGGAUAUUAGAUCAGGUAAGAAAAUUUCCUCAGUACAUAUUGCACAUAUAAAUAUUGUUUUUAACGAUUUUGAAGUAUUCAACAAUUCUUUUGUUCAGUAACCAGUCCAUUGUCGGGAUAGUUACCACUGAGUAGUGAUACCCCUUUCCUCUAGUAACAUCAUAAAUGAAUUGUCUUCAAAAUUCUGAAUUUUACAAACAUGAGUUUGCAUGGAGAACAAAAGUUGAAGUAUUAGUUUUGUGUAAAUUGUUUUCAAUUCCAGUAUCUUGAGGGAUUGAAGAAGCCUCUGUCCACCCAUUUCAGACCCCAGAAGGGGUAGAGUUAAGUUGCUAAAGAUGCCUACUUUGAGUGUGCUGUUACUCCCAGUUUGUGAUAUGCUACAAGUACUCACUGUUGUCAAUUGCGGAUAGAAGAAAAUUACAGUUUGUUCAAAUUCCGCUACGCAUCAGUGUUAUAACGUCUAUUUCACAAUAUUUUGUACUAAAUGGCUUAUCGUGGAACAACAGCGAUUUGUUCAAAUUCCACUAUACAAUAGCACCGCUAUUUAACAACACAGCUCUACUCCCAGUCAUUUUGGAUUAGUGAAAUCUUGAUACUUAAUCCUUUAUUGCCAAUUUGUUUUCAUUAUUGCUAUCACAACUGUAUCUAGUUUUUUUUUACGCAACUAUAUCUAGUUAUUUCACUCCCACAUCUACAGAUCAUUACUUGUUAUUGUCUUUAGUAACUUUGUACCUAAUUUUAACCGAAGGGAGCACCUUUUUCUUCUUCGCAGAUUCAGAUGAUGAUUGAACAGAUGAAGGAUUUUCUUGAGUUUUCUCCGUUCUUGCUGGUCAGUGGUGGCUCUGCAGAUACUGCUUUGGAGUUGUCUCUAGAGUUCUAGAAGUUCAGUUGGUUAGUACAACCAAAUGAUGAAGGCUGAAUUUUCGCUAGUUUCAAAAUUUUCAUUGAUCACCUAGUAGAGUUGAAGUAGGAUAACCGUCUGAGCAUAAGUCAUAUUUUUGCUGUAUAAAUCAUAGGAAUUCCUGUAUAAUUUUUUCCCUCCCAACCAAACCCCUUUUAGUAGCCCAAGGGUUCAGAGAAAAGUAGGGUGGAUAAACAAAGUGAAGAAUUCUUACAGUACUUUUCAUGCUGUUUGAUGUAGUGUAAAGUGCUGCUCUUGUGGAUGUCAUUUCAUGUAAAAUUGUGGCGAUGUGGUUUUACCGGAAAUUUCAAUUUCAAAGACUUUAGCCUUGUCCAAAAAUCAUCAUUGAGAAUGGAAUCGAACUGAACCAUACAUAACUUGUGUUUGGAAAUAUCAAUUUCCACUGGGACAUCCAGACAAAAGCUACAUACAAUAGCUUUUAAUUCACUAUUGGUUUACUUCAUUCCAUUGCUUUAUCAAACAGACUAAUAAUUGAACCACUAUCAUGGUUUAAUUACCGAACUAAGUAUUUUAAUUAUAAUAAUAAAGUAGUUCUUGAGCUCAACUAAAUCAGUUCAAUGCUGCGAAGUGCGAAUACACUCUCCAGCUCUCUUUGACAUCAACAUAGUCUUUUCCAAAAGUCUUCCUCACUCUGAACCCCAAGUCCCAGAUUAAAGCUGUGUGAAUCCUAUAAUCAACAGAACUAGCCAAAUUUCCUUACUAUAUGAACUUGCAAAACGUAGCCCUAAAUCCUGAAUUCCGCUUUCUCUGUGUUGCGUGCUUUGAUCAUUGUCAAUACUAGAUUGCUAAUCAAUCUUCCUUUUUGUAUGAAGCAACUCUAUGUAACAAAUCUGCCAAACUUGGUUUUAUUUUAAGAAAAUUCUUAUAUUGGAUAUUUUUUUUAAAAUUAAAAUAAAUAUUGGAUUUAUAAUAACUUGUAAUUUUGGUUUUUGUUCUAGUUUACAUUUUUCUGUUAAAAAUCAGCUGCAAGUAACGGGUCAAUGGAUUUUUUUAUACUCAUUUUUAGGAGAUUUUCUUUUAACAACUCCGCAUUUCUUGUGCUCCCUCCAAAUUCUCAUCUUGCCAUGUUCGGAAUAAACAACCGAAUCCUUUUUACACAAUUUUGGAUUAUAUAAUAUGAAUCAUGUCAAAGCUCAGAAAAUGUAUUAUAAUUGAUACGAAAGUCUAUGUUGGCCAUCGCACUGUCCCCACAAAAUCUGUAAAACAAUUUUGGAAAUGAUAAGUAAGAGAGAAAAAUUAAGGAAACAAGAGGAGAAUGGCAAUGAAAAUGGAGAAGAACGCAAGACUAUUUAUAGCCAUAACAUCAUCUUAGAUUGUAACUACAAUCAAAUGAAAUGUUUAUAAUGACCCAAUUAACCAAAAAUGAUUAAACGCACCACAAACCUUUCAUGUAACGCCAUAGUCUACACUCUGAAAUGUUUCAUAUUUUAGAAUCCAAAAUCAUGUCAGAUUGGUUCAAAUGAUAUAAUCUGGAACGACCACAGAAAGUGUUAAAACUUGUGCUUUAGAGCGUUCGACACGUUUCAAAUUAUAUAAUCCGAAACAUUUUCAAAACACAAAAUUGAAAAAUAUGUCAUUAAAUCAAAAUUUUACAACAACAACAUACAUGAAACAUAACAAUAUCAACAACAUAAUUAAACAAUGUACACAACAUACUUAAACAAAAACAAGAUCAUGGACAAACCAAACUAAAUCCUUCAUCGAGUCUAUCCAUCGAGUCUAUCCAUGCAAGUCAUUUUUUUUUAAGAAAUAAUUUCUUUGUAUACCCUGGACCGAAUCAAACUAUCCCUAAUAUCAUGAAAAGAUAUGACCAAGGAAGCUUCUAAAUCGAUCGAUCCCUUUGAACCAUACUGAUCAAAUAUAAAAAAAUAUGGUUCUCACGUUGUCAUUUUGAAACUUCAUAUGAAUGAAUCGGCAUGUUCAUCUAACUUGGUCGAUCCUUUUGAACCGUACUGACCAAAUAUAAAAAAAUAAAAAGAGAGAAUUGGAUGAAUAUGAUAUAUGUGUAAGCUAGUUGUGGAUUUUCUUACUUAGAAUUAUCGUUCUUUAUACUAGCGGAAACCGUCAAUCCACUUUCUUAUUGUAGUGAAAGUUGUUCCUUUUUUUUUUUUUAUAAGACAAGAUAAGAUAUCGUUCAUAUUUUUUAGCAUAUUCAUGAUUGCUGCUAUUUGCAUACGAGGAUUAAACAAAUGCAUAUUUAUAGCAAUUGAAUCACAUAUUUAAGUAAAAUAGUUUGAGGUUAAUUUAGGUAUAUUGAAAAUAGACUAUACCAAAAAAAUUAUGUAUCACAUUUAUUAGUAGCAUUGAAUAGAUAAUAGAUUAUCCAUGUGAUUGAGCUCACAUGGUUAAUGAGCUCCACCAAAUGACUAAUAAUUCGAGAUAAUUUAAGUUUGAUUUUUGGAUGAAACAAUUAUUUGUUGUGUUUUACUUACCUCCCAACUGAAUUUCGGAUUACCAUGACUCAUUUUCUCUAAUAAUUGGAGUGUUAACACAAAAAAAAAAGAAAAAAAGAUAAUAGAUUACACAAUUUGCUCUUGCAAAAAUAGAUCACACAAUUUAGUGUGAUAGAAAACAUAUUAAAUUUCGAUCCAAAAAAAACAUAUUAAAAAAAAAAAAACUUAUAAUUAUUCAAGAACAUUCGGAUUAGAUGAUAAGGAAUCUCUUACAAUUCAACCAAAUGUUAUGGGUUUGAAUCCAGUCCACAUGCAACAAUGUUAACCUUUUUGAGAUAGAGUUUUGCCGCCAUUGUGAUCUUACAUGACUUUGUGUACAUAGAAUACCCACUUCACACUAAAACAACUUAUAAACAAAAUUACACAUAUAAAGAAAGUAGUAUGAUACGUGUGUGUUAGCAUAAUAAAAAAGUAGACAUAGAGAUUUAUAGGUUCUCUUCUACACGCUAGUAUCUAAUAAACGUGAAUCACGUAAUUUAGUUUAAAUUAAGUGUGGAAAGGAGUAUAUUUUGAAUGAAUAUGUUAUAGAUACGAAAUUUUCACUGUUGUUAAAAAUAACUAAUCUUUGUUGAAAAGUCUCAGGAUACGUUAAUAUUUGAAAAAUGUCAAAGUAUGUAACUUUGUUUAAAUUAAGUUCGGAGGAUAGUAAAAAAAAAUUAUUCAUGAUAUAGGUACGGAAUUUUCAACAAUAACGGAUACUUUAUCAAAGAACUUGUAAAACACAUAAAAUAUAUUAUUUCCUCUCAGCCGAAUUUUCUCCGCAUUCGAAAUUAUAAAUCGAACUUCUUAUCAUUUAUGCAAGGUAUUCCAAUUUCUUAAGCAUAAUUCUUGAAUGGACACAAGGAUUUGGACCAUUUAUUUGGUCACAUAAAAAAAAAAGUAGAUAUGAUAUAAUCAUUUGAAAAUUAAUGAUAGUUAAUUAUUAUUUCUUCUACCUUUUUUCUUUUUGUGUGUGUGGCCAAAUAGAAGGUCCAAAUGACACAAGAGUUUCUCACCAUUUCAUAAAUCUAUGGUUAUCGUAAAUAUAUAGGAAUAAUAUGGAGAAAGUUUGACUAAAUUAUAAAUUCCUUAGCACCAAAACAGAAGUGUCGACUGUCGAAGUCUACUAAGAUGAUUUGGCCGUACAAUGGAAUAAGUCAAAAUGAAAAGAGAAAUGUCAAAACACAGUCUUUACACUGAAGAGUGAAUUCUCCUUUCUCUUUCGUCCCCUUUUUGUGGCGUUUUUAUAUUUAUAUUGUGGUGACCACCCAACCCAACCCCACCACCACGAGAUAGUGCGUCAUGCCACACAUCAAAAUCCUAUCUGGUACUACUAUUACAAAACCCCACGUGAUUAAUUAAUCCAAGUUUAUACCCUUUCAAAAACCAAAACCCAACCGUGUGGGAACAGUGUACACACCUGCCUCUUACUUGCCACAUCAUUCCCAUACCGUAUAUAACCAACGUCAAACCUUUGACUUCAUUUCAUUUUCAACGUCUUCUAAACCUUAAACAAACGCUUUAGACUUCAACACAACAACAACAACAACAACAUGAACAACUCCUCUUCCUCCUUCUCCUCCUCCACUCUCCCCUCCGAUCAAGAACAAUCCGUCAUUGUCACCGCCCUAACCAAAGUCGUCUCCGGCUCCACCUCAACCGCAAACUCAUUACCGGAAUUUCAUCUCCCGGAUUCCACCAUCGGAAGCAGCAGCAGCAUGGAGCGAAUUCCACCAACGAACAUGGAAACCUGCCGCGAAUGCAACAUAGCAGGAUGUUUAGGAUGCAAUUUCUUCUCUCAAGAGAACAAGAAAAAACAAAUAAGAGCUAAAAAGAAGUAUAGAGGAGUGAGACAGAGACCAUGGGGAAAAUGGGCUGCUGAGAUUCGUGACCCGAGACGUGCUGUUCGUGUUUGGCUCGGAACCUUUACCACGGCGGAGGAAGCUGCCAGAGCUUAUGACAAUGCCGCCAUCGAGUUUCGUGGGCCGAGGGCAAAGCUCAAUUUUCCACUUGUUGAUGAAUCCCUUAAGCAUGUUGAGGAACCAGAAGUGAUCGUUCAUUCUAAGCAUGUAACAAAGGAUGAGAAUAUGAAUCAAGAAAUGCAAAUUGAAACAAUGACGGGGUUUGAGAAUAAUAAGGAUUGUGAUUUUUUGGAUAGCAUUGGUGAACCUGAUUUUCAACAAUUUAUGAAGUUUAUGGAAUUUUCUGGAGAUUCUUCUGGUUCUAGGACAGGGAAUCCUUUUAAUUAGUUCAUGAAUUCAACAACAAAUGAACAGUGAUUUUUUUUAGCAUGUUUAACUAGUGGUAGACUGAGAUUAAGUGUAUUGAUUAGCUUUGCUGUGCAAUGUGCAUAAUCUCUCUUCUACGAGAUUUUUUUUUAGGGAGGAAGUUGCUUUCUGCAAGUGCAAAUAGUGAUUUCAAUGUUUGAUUUUGAAGAAGAAUCCGCUUUGUAGAAUUGCUGUACUCCCUAAAAGUGUUUUUUUUUUAACGAGAAUUUAAUGUUUUGAGAGAAUUUAAAUCCUUGAAUAAUAAUAAUUUGAAUUUUUUUGAAAAUGAUGUAAAUCCUUGGAGAAGAAUUUGCCUUUGUAGAAAUGUUGUUCUCGUGAACUUAACCCGGUCAGUAUAAACAAUCUUCGGGAUUCAAACUCUAACCAUCACAAAAAAACGUUGUUCUCCCUAGGUGUUGCUUUGUUUCCAUUAUAAAUACUCUUCUUCAUAUUAGAACAACAAAAACCAUAAAACAUCAAAAUUAAUACAAUCAUUAUUAAUUAUUUUAAUUUUUUUAUAUAUUUUACAAACAUAUUUUUGUGAGAAAUUGUGAUUCAUUAAAUACAAUUACUAAUACUAAAAAGAUAAAUAUUAAAUGACUUUAAAUUUAAUACAUUAAAUAUAUAUUCGGUUUCAAUUACUGCAUUUUUUUUUAAUACGGAUAGGAAUGUGAAGUACUCCCUUCGUCCUACAUUUUGGGAGAAAGAGAGAGAAACAAUGGGUGUGAAUGAAAAAAUACUUUAAAGGGAAUUCAUUUAACGACAAUUAAAAAAAAGAGAAGUGGUAUUUUUUGUCCAAAAUUAAGGUGGAUUUAUCUUUAAAAAAAAUAAAUUAAAGUGGGUAUAUGGUCUUGUGAUAUUUUCAUUUCGGCUUGCAUGAAUGAAUGGUUCACAUUUCACAAGCAUGAGUAAAUUAUACGUAAAUUCCCGAACACCAAAACAGAAAUGUCAAAGUCUAAAAGAUACAGUUGUAGAAUGAAAUAGUAGUCAAGUAAACAACAAAUGUGAACGCACCGUCUUUAAGUGAACUCUCCUUUCGCUUUCUUCCCCUGGCUGGAACACCUGAAUCCUCAAUUGUUCUCUAUUGUGGGAACCAACCAACCCCACCAAAUCCUGUCUGGCAUUUUAAAAAAAAAAGAAAAAAUCACGUGAUUAAUUUAAUAAAUCCAACUUACUAUUAUCCAUUCAAAGACCAAUAGUGAACCGUGUGUGGGAACGGUGUACACAGCUGGCUCUUAAGUCUUACCUGCCAUGUCACCCCCUAAACCGUAUAUAAACCAACUCAAAUCUCUGACUUUCCCUUCAACUUCAAAAUCUUCUAAACCUUCAAAAACUCAGUUUCCAUACAUGAACUACGCCUUCUCCACUACCACCCUCACCUCCGAUCAAGAACUCUCAGUCAUCGUCGCUGCCCUAACCAACGUAGUCUCCGGUUCCACCUCCACCGUCGGCUUAGAUCGAAUAGUUCAACCGGUGAACAUAGAAACCUGUCGGGAAUGCAACAUAGCAGGAUGUUUAGGAUGCAAUUUCUUCCCUGAAGAGAAAAAACAAAAACAAAAACAAAAACAAAAGAGAGCUAAGAAUAAUAAGUACAGAGGAGUGAGGCAGAGACCAUGGGGAAAAUGGGCUGCUGAGAUUCGUGACCCGAGACGUGCGGUUCGUGUUUGGCUUGGAACCUUUACCACGGCGGAGGAAGCUGCUAGAGCUUACGACAAUGCCGCUAUCGAGUUCCGCGGGCCGAGAGCCAAGCUUAAUUUUCCACUUGUUGAUGAAUCUCUUAAGCGUACUGUUGAGGAUCCAGAAUUGGUUGUUCAUGUAAAGGAUGAAGAAAUGCAAAUUGAGACAACGAUGGGAUUUGGGAAUAAUACGACUGAAUGUGAUUUUUGGGAUAGUAUUGGGGAAGAAGCUGAUUUUCAACAACUUAUGAGGUUUAUGGAUUCUUCUCAUUCUAGAACAGGAAACACUUUUAAUUAGUUCCUCAAUUCAACAACAACAGAACAGUUAUUAGUUGUAGAAUUAGUUUAAGCGUAUUCAUUAGCUUUGCUGUGCAAUAUUGUGCAUUAAUGUUUGAUUUUGUAGAGGAAUCUGCUCUUUUUUUGGCGAAGAAAAUGACAUUUUCAGACUUAACAAAGUUAUUAUCAAUGAUAGAGUUAGCAUAAAUUUUACAAGAGGCUGGUUAAUGAAUGUCCGAUCAAUUAAAAGUCUUGCACGGUAUAACUUUUUCAAUAAUUUUACAAACAUACUCUCAUAAAAAAUUGUGAAACAUUAAAUACACCAAACUAAUACUAUUAAAAGGAUAAACAUUAAACGAGAGGUAGAAAAGUCUUUUAAACAAUAACUACACAUUAAAAAUUGUGACAUUUUCUUAUAAAUAGGACCAUUUUUUUUUCAAAAAUUUUUUUUCCUAUGUUAAGGACCGGAGGGAGUAUUUUGACGAACUUAAUUUUGAUUAAAAGUGAAUAGAUUUGUGUUUUGUUACAUAAACCUAGAAGUGAUUCUUAUAAGUCAUGUUAUUCGGAUAGUUUGAAUGUGAAUUGAUUUGCGAAACCUAAAAGCGAUUCUUAUAAAGUCAUGUUAUUCGAAUAGUUUGAAUCAAAAUUGAUUUUGAAUGCAUAAUUACAGAAAUAAACAUUAAUAGUAUUAAUAUCUACUUAAAAUUAGAUUUUACUUCUCUUUAUAUAAUAUCGUCUUAUGAAACACACUAACAGCUUACAAAGUGGAAUAUCAAUUGAAACAGUAACAAAGUCACCAUCAUGAGAAGAAUGUUACAACCCUUUCAGCUAAAAAGAGGUAAAUCAAAUUUAAGUUAGUAGACAUUGUUGGAACACAAGGAGUGUUAAGGUGUGAAUUUAAAAAAAUUCCCAUAUCAGCUUUUUCAAUUAGUGCUCAUUUAUGAUGCGAGAUCAAGUCAUUGAUUUUCUAACGGUCAAUUAAUCAUAGCCAUUAGAUUUGUAACUUAUCUUUGGCUCUUCACCUAUAAAUUGAGCUCCUCUCCCUCACUUCUACUCAUCCCAAAAAGUUCUUUUGAGUUGUCAAAGAACUUUUCUCUCUUCUCCCUCCUUUAGCUUGUGUUGACAAGCUAUUCUUUUCUUCUCCCUCUUUUUUUUUUUUUUUUUUUUUUUUUCUGUCCCUUCGGAUUUAAAGUCUUACGGCCAUAGUCCCUUCGGUUUAUAAUGUCCCUUCGGAAUUAAGAAUGGUCUUAAGAACAUAGUCCAUUCGGUAAAUUUUGUCGCUUCGAAAAUAAGAGUAUUCUUAAGAUCAAAGUCCCUUUCGAGAUAAAGUGUUCCUUCGGAAAAUAAGAAUGAUCUUAAGAAUAUAAUUCCUAUUUAUGUUUUAUGCCCUUUGAGAGGUUAGAGGUUAGAGUGGUGGAAACAUCAUAUUAGAGUGGUCCUAAUACCAUAUAAGAGUGGUCUCAGUACCAUAAUAAAGUGGUAUCUAUACCAUAUUGGAGUGGUCUUAGCAAUAUUUGAAGGUGUAUUUCUAGAACAGAUCUUAUAGUGCAAUAGGACUCUGAUACAGUUGUAGCUGGGCUGUUUUAUCCUGGGGACGUCGUGGUCGAUGGUCUGCUUGCACAAUUUUGGACAGUGUCACGAAACGUCUUAAAGAGAGUGACCUAGUCCGCGACUCAGCCUAGUAAUCUCUUCGGUGACAGAAAAUAUUUUUAACUAAUUUUGACUAUUGUUCCAACACAUGACAUAUAAAAACUGCAAAAUUUUGAAGAUACAUCCGUUCAUUUUUAGUUUUGUAAAGAAUAAUAAGUCAGAAAAAUAACUAGCACUAAAGCGCCACUUGAAAUGCUUUGUCGGCGCAAAAUGCUACAAUGAUUGGACCAACCAAAUCACCAGCAGCGCAUCCUGAAAAGAAGAACAAAGUUUUGCUUUAGGAAGUUGAAAUGAAUUAAAAUCAGGCUAACACAAUUCAAGCACAAAGAUUGAAGCAGUAAUUUUCUGUAAGUGUUGUUUAUGAUCUUACCAAUCCACUGGCCAAGUGAUGGACGAACAAGGGUAGCACCGAUCCCUGCCCCUAUGGAGGCAAAAACUAAAGAUGAACCACACCUUAUUGAAGUAAGGGCAACCUUCUGUCCAAGAAGUUGAACUUGCUUGGUAGUAUCUUGUUUGGUUGUAUCGACAUUACUGUCUUCAUCAUUGGCAUUGAAAAUGGAUCUAAAGAAUCGAUACAGUUCCAUGCCUACUUGAACAACCCAUGAUGCUGCAACUCCUAGCAUGUGUCCUGUGCAUAAUGAACAUAAAGUUAGCACUAAAUAGUUGAUAUCAAAUGCUCUAUGCACAGAUUAUUCAAAGAAAUCUUUUACCUCUGAAUGUUGUUCUGCCCACAGAAAAGAAGUAAACAUAAGAAGGCAUAUUCCUUGCAGCCUUGCGAGUAGCUGAUCUCGGAACAUCUGUUCAAAACAACCAUGAACGAUGAGUGCAUGUAAAAUCUCUCGAUAGCAUACAAAACAAAAGUUAAAAAACAUCACCCUCGUUUAUAAAAUUUUAAUAUAUUAAACUUUGACUGCUUUAGGUGUAUGCAAGAGCAUCUAAUCUCUAAAAUAUAGAUGAAAUCGUUAACAGAUUCCGAGAACAUACCUUUAAGAAGUUUCCAAGCCAUUCGCUCUGAAACAUAAUGGACAGCAAUUCUUUCUAAUAUUCUUCUAGUGGUCACAACACUUGUCUGUCAUAACAUUGAACAAACAUAUAUGAAUAGAAUGAAAGAGCUAAGUGACACCGUAGUACCAUUUUUGAAUUACCAAGUCAACAGAAAAGAGACCAUCAGGAAUAUAGAAAAGGCGAGACUGAUGAAAAUUAAGUGUGUUAAUUCAACGUUUAACUUAUUCCAAUUCAAUUUCAUGUUACUUCUUUUGUAAUUUAUCACCCUCUUAAACACCUCUUUCAUGAUAUUCUAUUCCUUCUGGUAUAUGAAAAAACUAAUUGCUUGAAAUUUGGAGACAGAGUUGGAAAAGCAUUUCAAAAUUUGUAUGCAAACAUCCCUGCAUAUAACUCGGAAGAGAUAAAGAUUAACCUAAAAAUGUAUCCCGAGUUUCCUUGUCAAGUGAAGGGGGAAAGAUGCAAGACAAAUGGGAUUAAUCGAAGCUUAAUGAGGCAAUGAUGCCUGUUUGAACUAUUAUAGAGCAAUGUGGUUUACUCUGUUAAAGACAUAGUAAAGCACUGUAUUACUUUAUGUAAAUAUGAAAAAUAAAGCAAAGAAGGUAGGAAAGUGCAGGCAGAAGCAUAAUUUGAUGGGCUGAUGACAAGGAACAAACAGUUAUGUGAAGAUCAUCUGAGUAACAAGGGAACAAUCAAGAUAAAAGAUGUUGAGCCAGAGGAGAAAACAGGCCAUGCAGUACCAGAAAGGAAACUUUAGGUCUCUAAGGCCAUUUAUUGAGCCUCAAGGCAUCUCAAAAGUUUAUGGACCACUAUCAACCUUAGCUUCAUUACUACACCGCUGUUUAGACUCGAAAAGAAAAAUCAAUCGAGUCAAAUAAGUUUAAAAAAUUGGAAAAAAAAAAAAUUGAUUGAAGAGAGCUCUAUAAACAGCUGAGUGGAGCUCUUGUAAUACUUAGACUUUCAUUUUUUAGUUGCUUCCAUAUAUAUACUCCUUAAAAUUAUAAAACCAAGAUUCAAAAUAAAUGAGAUGUAAUGAAACAAGACAAGUUUUCUCUAGCUCCAUAAAGAUAUUGGGCUCAAUUAGGAUGAACUACUCUAAUACCAAAAUGUGACAUCCACACUAAUUGGUUAACCUUUAUCAAGUUAACUUAGUAAAUUUCAACUUACUACUACUGUUUGUUAAGUUUUUACUCAUUUCAUUUCUCAAAUGGCAUUCUUCCUUGAGAGCUUUUACGGAAAAUAGUUGGCUGAGCUUCUCCUUAAAAGGAGAAGAUAAGCUAAACAACGAUUGGACAAACAUACACACCAUACACAUAGUUAGAGAUUCAUGGAAUGUUAACCUACAUAAGUAUGAAUUAAAAAGUAGGUAAGUAUAGAGAAAAUUGGAAGCUUCUACUAUUAACAACAGUAAAAGCCGUCCAACUCAUUAAUAUGUUUAUUUGUCUAUGACAAAGAUAAUUUACUUAGUGAAGAGGUUUUGCACGAUACAAGCUACAUGUAGCAGCUCAAAACUAUUGUUAUUGAUAGUAAACGACAAAUCACGUUCUUUGGGCUAGAUACCGAGUUUUCAAAACAAAAAAAAUGACAAGUCACAUAGAGCAAUUUCAGAAAUUGUGAAUAAUGCAAGAAAUAAGCCUAACUAAAUGUUAAAACAAGAAUCAGAAGAAAAAAUCUCACCUCACGUAUGAUUUGCUUCACAGACUUUUUGAAGGGAACAACCAGAUCAACACGGUGUUCUGGCUGUUCCUCCUCAAAUAAGUCAUCAAGAUCUUCUAUUUCUGCACGCGGCUCCAAAAGAGGCAAAUAGUGCAUCAGGAAUGACCUUAUUGAAGUCAUUGCAAGUGACCUCAACUCAAAAGCAGAGAAUAGAGGUUUAGGUUGGACAUUGUACGUUUUUGUACUAAAUCUUUCAGCAUCAUAAUUGUAAAUCCUUUCAGAAGCACUUUGUAUAGUAGAAAUAAGAUCUUCAGAUACUGUGGCGCCAGCAUCACAAUAUGCAACUGGUAUCCUGAAAUUAGAGAGGUGUGAUUAAACCAAAGAUGUCAUGAACCAAAGUAAGGCAUAUAUGUCCAAAAUACAAUGAAAAAUUAUACUCAACAACUUUAAAACCCUAUCUUUUACACUUCCGAUAUUUCCAAAAUACAGAACAUAACCCUAACCCCCUUGAAUAUUUUGAAGUAUUUAAAAGUUCUAGAAUUGUUAAAAUAUAGUAAAAUUGAUAACAGGAAUGUCAUAUGCCAUAAUUCAGAUUAUUUUCUUCACUAAAAGUACAACAACUAUUUCUCUACUUUCUCCUAUAUACACAAAGAAUCAUGGUCUAUUCAACCUUUUUUUCCUUGCAUGUCAUCUACAUAUCACACAAUCAUUUCCAUCAAAUCUCAAUGCAAAUUGGUAAGAUUCAUGUAUUACGAGGACAACAAUCAUUCAUGUAAGUUUGUAAACCGAUCAACGGGGGAAUUAAUAGUAUCUCCGAAAAUACUAGUUAUUAGUAAUCAACAAAAUAACUGUUCAUUCAGUUAUACAAACCAAGCAAAACCCUACCACUCCCAUGACCCCAUAACCUAUAUCUCAUUCUCACACUAUCAUAUCGUUAUCAAUUCAAUCCCUUAUCCCCCUUUCCUAGCAAGCAAUCACAGGUCACUACAGAUAAACUUCUCAAACUACAAUGCAAUAGACAUUAUAACACCAUUCCUCAAAUCUCAGUAUUUCAACUAUUUCAAAACUAAACCUAAUUUAACCACACCCCAAAAAUCAUGUAUCCCACUAGCAUCUAGCAGGAUUGUCAAAUUGCAGCUAUAGUAGUGUAAUAGACGUAACCAAAUUAGAACAAAUUAUUAUUAUUCUGUAAUACCCUUACUAAGUUAGUGGUACUAUAUCAACUAAACUUAGCAGAAUUUGAACAAACAACCAUUUCCUGUGCAAUCUUCGAUUGACAAGUAGCACCCUAUGAAGCAAUGACAUAGAGAUGGACACACGACGCAACACUAACAUGUCGCCAUUGGUAAUAGUUAGAGAAAACGACAUAAUAUACAAUGUAAUCACAUAUGUCAUGUCAUGCAGGUAUGGGACACUAACAAGUGUCGGCGCACUUUUGAUCAGAAGGAUCGGCGCUAUAGUGGCAGCACCGGCCCUUCUGAUUGAAAGUGUGUGUGAUGUCUGACCCUGACACAUGUGAUUAGUAGUGCUUCAUAGUCUACAACAACCACCCAUCAUAAAAAAAAACCCUAAAAUCUGAAUGAAUAUUAACCCACAUCAUAGCCAUACCCAAUUACCCAAAAUCAUCAAAACACCAAAUCAACUAAACUUAAAAACAUACUUUUUUCCACCACCCUUAUAAAAAUAACCAAAACCCAUCUCAAAAACAAUAUCAAAAUUAAAUUUUUAACAUCCAAAUAAAAAGGGUAAUGUUCCACAUAAAAACAUACCCAAAGAAAGCCCUUGAAGCAAAAGUGGUACCAGCAGCAAAAGAAGCAGCUGCAGCUACAGCAGCAGAAGAGGAAGCAGAAGAUUGAAAAGCAGAAUUAUGAUUCUUCCUCCAUAGAUCUACAAGUAUAGCUAUUCCCGCCAUUGUUUCUUGUGUUGUUCUUUAACUUUCAACUUAAAAGUCGCAAAACAAAACAAGGCUUUUAAGGUUUAAGGUUAAAUUAUCGUAUUAGUCGUUCAUCGUUGUUGAAUUUGAAACGGAGGCAAUAAGGUUUCUGUUGUAAUAACGCUUAGAUAGAUUGAUGAUCAGUGUUUUUUACACUUCAGUAGAACUGAGCUAAGUGAUAAUAAAUAGGGUUAACAAAAGUUUUUCCUUCAAAAAAAAAAAGGUUAAUAAAAGUUGUUUUAAUAUGAUAUGAUGAAAACAUAUUUUUCUUUUUUUUUUUAGGGAUGAAAACAUAUUUUUCUUGAUGAGAAAGUUAAUAUAACUUUAUUCACAGAAGCUAUAUUUUUAUCAAAUCUUAAUGGUCUUAUUUUAUUUUAUUUUUGGAAUCUAUACUAUAUCUCAUGGUAGUCAAAACCGAACCGGACCGGCCGGUUCAACCGGUUGAACCGUGAACCGGUAUUGUUUCCGGUCCGAUUGACCUUAAAAACCGUUGUUGAAUUGAACCGGGAAGUGAACCGGAAAACCGGCAAUCAAACCGGGAACCGGCGGUUUUCCCGGUUUCAGAGGUCCGACCGUGUGUUAGUUUUUUCCUUGAGAAAUAAGAGGGCUGAAAUCUGUAGUUCGACAAUAGGGUCGUUCUUUUCUUCUUUCUGUUUGUUUAGCAAUAGCAGGAAAAAUUGAAAUAGAAACUUGUCAAAGCUUCUUCCUUCACUAUCUGUUUAAUUGAUGCAGUAAGUGCAUGGUUAUUGAAGGGGUGAGAGGCAAAGAAGCGAUGGAACACAUGUGAGAGAAGUGGGCUGUGGCGGCGGGAUUGGAGAAGAAAGAAGAUUGUGCGCUCAAUGAAAAUAGAAGUAGGUCAUUAGGGUUAAUGUAUUUGAAUGAAAGUUUUGGGCCUAGCCGAUUAUUAACACUACUCUUGGUUUGUUUUAGACUCAUUUACUUGAGAAAUUUAUUGCAUUUAUGAUCAUUUAUAUACAAUUAUCAUUAAUAAAAGAUUAUUAUAUCAUUUUAAAUUAUAACAAGUAUGAUGAGGAAUAAGUAAUUUUUUUAAAACUAAUUUAUAGUAAAAUAUGAACAUUGUAUAAUUUUUUGUGUAUUAUUUCGUAUUUAAAAAUAAAAAAUAUAUAUUUCACUAUUACCGGUCCAACCCCGGUUGAACCUCGGUCCGAUCUUUGAACCUCGAACCCCUGAGUAUACCGGUUUGACACCCGAUCCGGUUUUGAUUACCUUGCUAUAUCUAUGUUAUAUAUAAAAAACUAUCCCUUUCAACACACUUUUGGGUAGGAAUUUUCUUUUCAAAAAUAUCCUUAAUUUUAAAUACAAAUAGUCAAUUAUAAAAUAACACGUAAAUUAAUAAUAAUGUCAUUAAUCGUCACUGUUAAUCUUCUCUUAACACCGUUAAUCAGAUCAAAGUAACAAAAAGUUUAAAAAUUAUAUUUGCAUUCUUUAUGUCUCUUCUCAUGAAUUCAAAUCGAUCCAGAAUUCAUCUUAGUACCCUCUGAUCACAUUUCAUCACCUCUAAACAAUUAGAAAGUUCCAAGGCUCAAGAACUUGAUUAAUACUUCUCAAGCAACAAUGAAUGGAAUAUCUUUAAGGUCCACUUCAUGAAUUGAGUAUCUUUUUGUUUUAUCCUUCGAGCAAUUUACUUUCCGCCAACAUUACAAUUCAAGCUUUGUUUUUACUUUUUUUUGUUAGAAGAAUGAAUGAAUCAGAAUUUGAGAAAAUCAAAAGUGAACAAUAAUCACUUAUGUAACAAAAAAAAAUCCAAAGUUUAUGUUUUUUCCUGCUUUAUUUCUCACGAGUCUAUGAGUUUUUUUAAUUUUUUUUAAACAAAAAUAAUAGCCGAUGAGGAUUAGACUAUAAAUUCUCUAAAAAAAUAUUAGUAAUAAAAGUGGGCAAAAAAUAUUGUUAAAGAUUGAAUUUUAAAUCCUCAAAAAAAAAAUUAGUAACAAACAUGAGCAAAAAAUAAUGUUAAAGAUUAGAUUUUAAAUCAUCUAAUAAAAGAUUAGUAACAAACAUGAGCAAAAAAAAAUUAGUAACAAACAUGAGCAAAAAAUAAUGUUAAAAAUUGGACUUUAAAUCCUCUGAUAAAAAUAUUAGUAACAAACGUGAACAAAAUAUUAGCAUUCAAAAUCUUUUAGAAAAAGAUUUGUUAGCACUAUAUUAAAUGGACUAUAAAUCCUCUAAAAAAUUUAGUAACAAACGUGACCAAAAAUUAUUAUUAAAGAUUAAACUUUAAAUCCUCUAAAAAAAGAUUAGUAACAAACAUGAACAAAAUAUUACGAUUCAAAAUCUUUUAAAAAAAGAUUUGAUAUCACUAUAUUAAAUGGACUAUAAAUCUUCUAAGAAAAGAUUAUCAAACAAUAUCGUGGGACUAAGCUUGAUUAAUAUGUUAUUGAGGGAUUUAAACGAGCUCUUGAAGCAACAUGGUAAAGAUAUCACAGAUUAUGAUCUUCCAUAAUUACCAACAGAAAUAAAUGAAGAUAAUCCAGUUCCAAGGGGUUAUUCAAGAGGAGUUAUCAGUCCAAAUUCCCAACGAAGACAUUGAAUCUAUUCAGAUGUUAAAUCAUGACCAAAUGGUUGCUUUUAAUACCAUUAUGCAUGCCAUUGAUCAUAAUCAUAAACAUAGUCAAGUAUUUUUUGUUGAUGGUCCAGACGGAACAGGUAAAACAUUCCUUUAUCGAGCAUUAAUGGCAACUUUGAGAAAUAGAGGAAAAAUUGGCUUAGCAACCGCGUCAUCUGGUAUAACUGCAACAUUAUUAUCGGGUGGUAUAACUGCACACUCCCGAUUUAAUUUACCUUAUGAUGUACAACCAAAUUCCUUCUGCGAUAUAAAAAAGCAAAAAGAUCUUGCAAAGCUUUUUAGAGUAGCAACUGCCAUAAUCUGGGAUGAAGCCCCAAUGACAAACAAAUACUGUUUAGAAGCAUUAGAUCGAUCACUAAGAGAUAUUUUAGAUUGUGAUGCUCUAUUUGGUGGAAAAGUUAUGAUCAUGGGUGGAGAUUUUCGUCAAGUACUUCCACUUAUUCAAAAAGGUAGUAAGGCACAACUGAUAUCUGCAUGUAUUAUUAGGUCUAAUUUAUGGGCUAAUAUCAAGGUCCUACAUUUAGUACAAAAUAUGCGAUCAAUGAAUGAUCCUGAAUUUGCACAAUUUCUUAUGCGAAUUGGUGACAGUGUUGAACCUACCAAACUCAAUGCUAUGGUGAGGAUACCUCAUCAAAUUGCAUUACCAUGGGAAGGAGAACAGUCAAUACAAACUCUUAUUGAUCAUAUUUUUCCACAAUUAAAUUUGCAUGGAUGGGAUGCAUCGUAUAUGGUCGAAAGAGCCAUAAUUACACUUACAAAUGAUGAUGUGCAAAAAUUGAAUGACAUAAUUAUCAAUCAGUUUUCAGGAGAAGAACAUAAUUUAUUGUCAUUUGACGAGGUUGAAGGGGAUACUCAUAACUUAUAUCAACGGGAAUUCUUAAACUCAAUUGCUCAAGGAAGUAUCCCACCACAUAUUUUAAAGGUAAAAAAAGGUGCACCUUUGAUGUUGUUGCGAAACAUAGACCCUAGAUAUGGGCUCUGUAAUGGGACACGAUUAUUAUGUCGUGGUUUAUUUAAGAAUAUGUUGGAUGUGAAAAUCCUAACAGGAAGCAAUGCUGGAAAAAGAGCAUUCCUGCCCAAAAUUAAAUUAAAAACAAAUGCGAGUUCAUGACUUCCCAUUUUGCUUAGUAGAAAACAAUUUUCCGUUAAACUAAGUUUUGCUAUUACCAUAAAUAAGUCACAAGGGCGGACCAUUCCCAAUGUCAGGAUCUAUCUUCCACGACAUGUUUUCAGCCAUGGUCAAUGAUAUGUAGCUUUAUCAAGAGGAGUUUCUCAAAAUUCAACAAAAGUUCUCAUUAAAGAAGGGAAAGUAGAAGGAGAAGAUGGAGACUUUACGAAAAAUGUAGUUUCUAAAUAUAUUCUUUUAUCACAAUCAUAGCAAAUGUUUCGUAUACAUAACAUGUCAUUUGUACAAUUAUUUACGAUGUUUCUUUUACACAACACACACAUUUAUGUUAUGAUGUUACUAAUUACUAUUAGAAUAAACAAUAAAUGGUCAUUAUUUUACCUUAAUUUUAUAUGCAGGCAAACUAAAAUAUGUUGAGUUCAAAAAUAAUUUUUUAUAUGCCUUGACAAUAUUUUGUUCAUAAAUCAAUACAUCAAUAAUUUUCAUAAUAUUUAAAAAUUUAAAAUUUUCAAUAAAAAUUAUACAAAGAAACAUAAUAAAAUAAUCAAAUGCGUUAGCGCAAUAGAAAGAGCGGACAAACGGGCACGAUAGUGCCAGUCUUUCCGCUAGUGAAUAUAAUGGUCUUGAUUAAAAAUUACAUCAUAUAAGUUCACACUCUCACAAAAAAAUUCUUCCUUUUUUUUUCUUCAUUUCAUCGUGUUUAUGUUAUUUUUUAUUUUGGUUUUUUUGUUGUUAUUUUUUUUUAACUCUGUUUUUAUAUUUUCUACAUUAUUUACGGAAUCAAAAUGGUAUCUCUACUUGAAAUAAUGAACAAGAUUUUUCUAUUUUUGAAGUGUUUCUUCUUAAGCCUUGAAAUGUUUCCUCUUGAGCUUGUGAUACACGAGUGUGCGACCCGUGCACGGGUAAAUUUAUCUUUCCCUAACACAUGACAUAACAACAGACGAUUGUAUCCCAAUGUUUAACAAUGCGUGUAUCGACAACAUAUUCGUACCUCAAUUUUCGGAUGGUGCAUGUUCCAACAAAUUAACCAUUCUAAACCGCAUCGUUGAUCACCUAAUUUAACAUCAAAUAAUCCUCUGAUGGUUUGUAUAUUGGCUAAAUAUGUUUUUUCAAAGCUAAUUGUUGAUCCAGAGUUUAUGGUUCAAAAAUAAAAUUGUUUUAUUUUUUUAUAAUCAACCAAAUACAUUUUUUUGUUUCAAGGCAAUAACCAUUGAAAUUAAUCUUAUAAGACAAAUGGAACUAGAUAGUAAAAGUUCCACCAUAAUAAACUAUGGCGAAUAACAUUUUUAUGUAAAGUAAUCACCUCUGAAGCAUGGGUACUCCAUUUUUCUAAACAUAUCCGUACCGAGUAUUGUGCGGGUACUGGUACACGUAUUGUACGCCUACUGUACGCACCCAUGAAGCACCAGUUUUUUUAUUUUUUUUUAAUGGUUGGGUACGGACGCGGUACUGAUUGGGUACGUAUAUCCUAUUUUUUUGGAGAAAAUGGAGCAAUUAUAUUUUUUAUUUUUUUUAUAAAAAUCAAACUUAAACUGCACGCACAUCCUCUUUUUUUUUUGGAGAAAACGAGCCCUUUUAUGAGAAUUAAUAGCAUUAUAGUUUUUUUUUCAGCAUCCAAAGAAGAUUCUGGAGCCUGAGCUUGGUUGUUCUUAGUGGGAAGAACAUUCACAUUAGUAGCAAGAGGAACAGAAGUGUUGUUACCAAUGAGGACGCCAUGAAUAAGAAGGACUGGAAAAUUAAGUUGGUGGUGAACUGAUUGAGAAUAAUCCUUUAGUUUUCUUCUGUUUUUCUUUUAACGGUAGGUUAACGACGUCUUAGCAGAGGGAGGUUUAUGUUUUUUUUUUUUUUUUGUAAAAUAGAGGAGGUAUUUGUGACGUAAGAGCAUACCUCAAGCAAGGUUAUUGUAUUUUUCCCUAUAAACUAUGAACCUUAAGAUUGUAAGAUUGUUCAAAGCUACGUCAAAUUCUCAUUGAUUUGAAAGGCGGACUUUGGGAUGGCAAUGAGUACCCAAUAGAUAAGGUACUAUAGUACCCAUCCCCAUAUUUUCAUUUGUAAAAAAUGUCCGUAUCCGAGCCCGUAUCUUCGUGGAUAACAAUUUAGUGUCCUUCCCCAUACCCUAUGGGCACUUAAGUGCCCAUACCUGCACCCAUUACCCGCACUUUCUCUAUGAAAAGACAAUAAAAAACAUCACAAUUGAAUAAAACUAUGACCCAAAAUUAUUUAAAUCAACUAAUAAAAUAAUACGAAUCGUAGUAUUUAUCCAAAUAAAAAAACAUCCAAAAUAUUCCUCAAAAAUUAAAAUAAAAACAUUCAAAUAAUCGUAGUAUUUAGGUUUAAACUUAAAUAGCUUAGAUUUUAGGUUUAGGUUUAGACUUAAAUAGCUAAAUAAAUUAAAUAAUUGUACACCAAAAAUAAAUAAAGUAUUUAUUAUAUUAUAUAAAUAUGUACAUGCGGGUUGCGGGGCUGGGUAGUAUAGUACCCUUACCCGUGUUCAUACCCAUUAAAAUUUGCGGGUAAUUACUCUACCCGUGUCCAUGUCCAUAAAAGCGGGUUUUACCCUACCCAUUGUGAAUAUUUUUUGCGGGUAUCCAUCGAGUCUAGGUCCAAUUGCCAUUCCUAAAGGCGGUUGAUCCUCACAACCAAAUGUUGAAAUCGUGUUUAUUGUGUUUAUUGCAAUCACAAUUGCCUAAAUGAUGGAGUAUUUAUGUUUAAGAUUCCAAAUUUCCAAUCAGUGAGAUUCGCUACAGAGGAGAAUAGCGAGUUAUUUGUCUGGAGACAUAAGACAAGAAGAAUCAAAACCCCACCCAUCACCUGAAGGACGUUGAUGUAUAAAGUGUGGAAUCUGGUGUGGAGCACAUUUCUAGAGUGUAACCAACAAUAACAACAAUGGGGAAUAAUACCUUAAAAAAAAAAAAAAAAAACAAUGGGGAAUAAUAAUGACAGAGUUUUUAAUGGUCUUGAAACUCUUUGCACAUGAAGCAUAAUUUUUUUUUGCAAAUGUUGAACUUUCGAGAAAGAUUUGUAAAAGCCUUUUCAAUAUUAAGAGCAAAAAAUGUUUUUUUUUUCCAUUAGGGCACACUCAUUCGUAAAACGAAAAUAGUUCGUUCAAAAAUAUUAAUUCAAAAUAAAACAAAAAUAGUCAAAUCAAAAACAUUGACUCAAAAUUUACAUAUAACAAAAGUUGUAAAUGAUAAGUGAUUGUUUUGGAUGCUAACGUGAUUGAGAUGUCAAAUCUACUAUAUGAUGUCUCUACAUUCUAAUUUCUGUUUAUAAAAUUUUCUAAUGUUAAGUGAUAAUUUUGUUUGUGGAUAAUUUGUUAUAGUUCUUCCAUAAAGACUCUUUAAACCUUAAUAAAUGUUCGACCUUUAUGAAAACCACAUAAUUAUGACAUUUGUUCUGACAUAGUUCCACGAAGUACCUUCACAAACAUAAAUUCUUUAGAUUGACUACUAGACUAAUCUUCCCUUGAGUGCUUAAGUCGCAAGUUAACACUCUUUUGUCCCUCUCCAAUAUUUUGUUAUGCUCAAACUAAACAAUGUGCCCACCCACAAGUUCAAAUAUAAUUAAAAUGAUACAGAGUUUUAGAAAUAAACAUUAAUUAACAGAUUAUAAAUUUGAUGUCAUGGAAGGUUUGAGGUUGAAACUCAACCAUCUUAAAACGAAAUUAUAAAUUGGAUGUUAAAAAUCAUUAAUCGGUCGAAAUCAAAAGAAAAAUGGCAAAAGUCCAAAACACAGUCUUUACACUGAAGAGUGAACUCUCCCUUCGCUUUCGUCCUCCUAUGGAAUUGGCCCCACCACAAGACAGUACAUGUCACACUUACGAAUCCUAUCUGGCAUUUUUCUGGACUUAAAUACAAAACCACACGUGAUUCAAAGACCAAAUGUGAACUGAACCGUGUGGGAACUGUGUACAUAGCUGGCUCUUACCUGCCACGUCACCUUCAAACCGUAUAUAUACCAACUUCUAACCUCUGACUUUCCAAAAACUUUCAAAGUAAAAUCUUCUAAACCUUAUACGACAAAACUGCAACCUGCGACUAUUACUAGUUUCCAAACAUGAACUACUACUCCCCCGCCGCUCUCACCUCCGAUCAAGAACUCUCCGCCAUCGUUGCUGCUUUAACCAACGUAGUCUCCGGCUCCACCUCCACCGCGUAUUCCAUACCUGAAUUUUCCCCCACGGAUUCCACUGUCGGAAGCAGCAGCAGCAGCUUAGAACGAAUAGUGCCGGCAGUGAACAUAGUUUCUUGCCGGGAAUGCAACAUAGCAGGAUGUUUAGGAUGCAAUUUCUUCCCUGAAGAGAAAA
rnacentral:lncRNA from 1 species